UUGAUCCUGGCUCAAGACGAACGCUGGCGGCGUGCUUAACGCAUGCCCGUCGAACGGGGUUUAAUAGGAAGCUUGCGAAUCUUAAACUUAGUGGCGAACGGGUGAGUAACGCGUGGAUAACCUGCCUUAAUGCCUGGGAUAACACUGGGAAACUGGUGCUAAUACCGGAUACGCUCAUUGCGACACAUGUUGUGAUGAGGAAAGGAGUAAUUCGCAUUAAGAUGGGUCCGCGUCCCAUUAUCUACUUGGAGGUGUAAGAUACCCCCAAGGCGACGAUGGGUACCCGGCCUGAGAGGGUGGACGGCCACACUGGACUGACACACGGUCCAGACUCCUACGGGAGGCAGCAGUGGGGAAUCUUCCGCGAUGGGCGAAAGCCUGACGGACAACGCCGCGUGAAUGAAUAGGCCUUCGGUUGUAAAAUUCUGUCUUCCAGGAGAAAAAAAAUGACGGUACCUGAGGAGGAAGCCCCGGCUAACUACUGCCAGCACCGCGGUAAAACGUACGGGGCGAGCGUUGUCCGGAAUUACUGGGCGUAAAGGGCGCGUAGGCGGUUUAAUAAGUCUCAAGGUGAAAACUAUCGGCUCAACCGGUAGCGUGCCUGAGAAACUGUUAGACUUGAGGGCAGGAGAGGGGAGUGGAAUUCCAGUGUACGGUGAAAUGCGUAGAUAUUGGGACUGGAACAACAGUGGCGAAGCGCUCUCUGGUCUGUUACUGACCUGAGCGCGAAAGCGUGGUAGCGAACGGAUUAGAUACCCGGUGUCCACCCUAACGAGUGCUAGGUGUAGCGCUAGUAUCGACCCUUCGUGCCGUGUUACCACACUCAAUAACACCCCCUGAGGAUUUGACGCUUGAUCGCAUUACUCAAGAAUUGACGGCCCGCACAAGCGGUGCGCAGCACCUAUGUUUAAAAUCGACGCAUCACGCAGACCUUACCAGGGUAUUACGACAUCCCUGACAGCUGUGUAAAACAGUUCUUACGACUCGGUUCGUGACAAGGGAGACAGGUCUGCUUGAUCUCAGUUCCUUCGAAUGUUGCAUCAUAGUCCGCACGGCCGCCAACCCUGACUUGUUCAUAUGCUACGAGUGACAUACCGCACUCUAGAUGAACCCCUUGCAGAAUCUGGAGACUGGUGGGGAUGUCUUCAAUUCAUCAUGCCCGUUAUGUCUCUCAGUUCCCACGUCCUUCAAUGCCCGGUACAAAGGGCACCGCACCUGCGAAGCGGAGCCAAUCCCAAAAAUCCGCUAUCAGUUCGGAUUGCAGGCUGAAAUUCGCCUGCAUGACGUCGGAAUCGCUAGUAAUCGCAGGUCAGCAUACUGCGGUGAAUACGUUCCCGGACCUUGCACACACCUCCCGUCACCCCACGAAAGCUGACAACACCCGAAGCCGGUGA
rnacentral:rRNA from 1 species